UACGGAGGAUCCGAGCGUUAUCCGGAUUUAUUGGGUUUAAAGGGUGCGUAGGUGGCCUGUUAAGUCAGGGGUGAAAGACGGUAGCUCAACUAUCGCAGUGCCCUUGAUACUGAUGGGCUUGAAUGAACUAGAGGUAGGCGGAAUGUGACAAGUAGCGGUGAAGUGCAUAGAUAUGUCACAGAACACCAAUUGCGAAGGCAGCUUACUAUGGUUUUAUUGACACUGAGGCACGAAAGCGUGGGGAUCAAACAGG
rnacentral:rRNA from 1 species